GAUGAACGCUGGCGGCGUGCCUAAUACAUGCAAGUCGAGCGAACGGACGAGAAGCUUGCUUCUCUGAUGUUAGCGGCGGACGGGUGAGUAACACGUGGAUAACCUACCUAUAAGACUGGGAUAACUUCGGGAAACCGGAGCUAAUACCGGAUAAUAUUUUGAACCGCAUGGUUCAAAAGUGAAAGACGGUCUUGCUGUCACUUAUAGAUGGAUCCGCGCUGCAUUAGCUAGUUGGUAAGGUAACGGCUUACCAAGGCAACGAGGCAUAGCCGACCUGAGAGGGGACUCGGCCCACCGGGAACGAGGACCAGGCCCAACCCCCGCGGGGGGGAAGCGGGGGGAAACUUUCCGGAAGGGGCGAAAGCCUAAGGGGGAAAGCCGGCGUGAGUGUUGAAGAGCUUGGGAUCGUAAAACUAUUUUAUUAGGGAAGAAAAAAUGGGUAAGUAACUGGACAAAUCUGAGGGGGACCUAAUAAGAAAGCCCCGGCAAACUACGG
rnacentral:rRNA from 1 species